CAAUCUUGCAAUGAGAUUAGAUCCCUGCACCCACAAGAAACCCCACUGAAGUCAGUAGGGCUCUCCAGAGACACAAUCUCCAUCCAUAUAGUUCUCUUUACAGGACCAGGCACAAGGGCCAACGGGGCUACAACAACCUGUAAACGAAUAUGGAAUUAUGGGAGUUGGACUUCUGCCACAAUUCUACUGAGUUGUCAAGAGGCCCUUUGAAAUCUCCCAGAAGUCACUGCAUCGGAGAGUUGUGUUGGGACAAGCAGGGCAGUGUACCAUCUACAGCAGACUACCAUGCAAGUAACGAUAUGGGGCAAGUUACAGCCAAGGGGCUUCUUAGUGUGAAUCCAACUAUGAUCAAAUUUGAAGACAGCAUCAAAACUGGAAGAGCAGACAACAUUCUGGAAGCCAAAACCAAACUGCAAAGUGACCUGGAGAGAUUAGACCAGAAGGAACUGCAAACAACAUGAGAUUUGAUAUGGGAUUUGACUGAAGAGAAGCCACAUCUUGCCUCAUCAACGCCCUGGUCACUCUACUGAACUUCUGGUUCACACAGUACAAAACUCCUUUCUUCUAUGUUACCCCAAAAAACUCUUAGAACUACAAAGCAUUUAUUUACUGCAACUGAAGGGAAACGCUAAGAUGUGCCAGACAUAUCUAGAAAACGGAACAAUAUAUGGGCAUAACAAACUAAAACCAGGACUGAGAGUUAUGGAAUCUGACCACACAUCUAGAUUCUGGAUAUCCACGUGGAUCAGUAUGACAACGAACAUGAGCAUGCACCAUUCUGAAGGGCAUAAAUGCUCUCCUCAAACUACCGUCGCUAUCAGAGGCAAAUCAUUCCAAAAUAAAUAAUUUGCCUGUGACAGGGAAGGGAAAAGAAGAGAAGCAGUAACACAGACAGUGAUUUGGCUGGAC